GACGAACGCUGGCGGCGUGCUUAACACAUGCAAGUCGAACGGUAAGGCCCUUCGGGGUACACGAGUGGCGAACGGGUGAGUAACACGUGGGUGAUCUGCCCUGCACUUCGGGAUAAGCCUGGGAAACUGGGUCUAAUACCGGAUAGGACCACUGCCUGCAUGGGUGGUGGUGGAAAGCUUUUGCGGUGUGGGAUGGGCCCGCGGCCUAUCAGCUUGUUGGUGGGGUGAUGGCCUACCAAGGCGACGACGGGUAGCCGGCCUAAGAGGGUGACCGGCCACAAUGGGACUGCGAUCCGGCCCAGACUCCUACGGGAGGCAGCAGUGGGGAAUAUUGCACAAUGGGCGCAAGCCUGAUGCAGCGACGCCGCGUGAGGGAUGACGGCCUUCGGGUUGUAAACCUCUUUCAGCACCGACGAAGCGCAAGUGACGGUAGGUGCAGAAGAAGGACCGGCCAACUACGUGCCAGCCGCCGCCGUAA
rnacentral:rRNA from 1 species